UGAGUGGCGGACGGGUGAGUAACGCGUGGGCAACCUGCUCCCCCCGUANAGGGGGACAACACUUAGAAAUAGGUGCUAAUACCGCAUAACGGGGGGAGCCGCAUGGCACCCCCCUGAAAACUCCGGUGGUACAGGAUGGGCCCGCGUCUGAUUAGCUGGUUGGCAGGGUAACGGCCUACCAAGGCGACGAUCAGUAGCCGGCCUGAGAGGGCGGACGGCCACAUUGGGACUGAGACACGGCCCAGACUCCUACGGGAGGCAGCAG
rnacentral:rRNA from 1 species